GAUGAACGCUGACAGAAUGCUUAACACAUGCAAGUCAACUUGAAUUUGGGUUUUUAACUUAGGUUUGGGUGGCGGACGGGUGAGUAACGCGUAAAGAACUUGCCUCACAGCUAGGGACAACAUUUGGAAACGAAUGCUAAUACCUAAUAUUAUGAUAAUAGGGCAUCCUAUAAUUAUGAAAGCUAUAAGCGCUGUGAGAGAGCUUUGCGUCCCAUUAGCUAGUUGGAGAGGUAACGGCUCACCAAGGCGAUGAUGGGUAGCCGGCCUGAGAGGGUGAUCGGCCAAAAGGGGACUGAGACACGGCCCGUACUCCUACGGGAGGCAGCAGUGGGGAAUAUUGGACAAUGGACCGAGAGUCUGAUCCAGCAAUUCUGUGUGCACGAUGAAGUUUUUCGGAAUGUAAAGUGCUUUCAGUUGGGAAGAAACAAAUGACGGUACCAACAGAAGAAGUGACGGCUAAAUACGUG
rnacentral:rRNA from 1 species